UCGCCACUACCUCCUUACCCCUAUCUGAAGCUGAACAAAUGAAUGAAACCACCUCCUCAUCUUCAGCCCUAGAAUCACCUCCUUACUGUAUCAUCUCAUCUGACACAGAAUUCUCUGACCUCGCUUCUCCCACACUAGCCCAACUUCAGACUCAAAACCUUGCCUCACAACAACCUCCAUCUGAACCUGAAGUAACCUCACCACCCACAAAAC
rnacentral:lncRNA from 1 species